AAUCCAUAGGUUAAUGAGGCGAACCGGGGGAACUGAAACAUCUAAGUACCCCGAGGAAAAGAAAUCAACCGAGAUUCCCCCAGUAGCGGCGAGCGAACGGGGAGGAGCCCAGAGCCUGAAUCAGCAUGUGUGUUAGUGGAAGCGUCUGGAAAGGCGCGCGAUACAGGGUGACAGCCCCGUACACAAAAGCGCAUGUGCUGUGAGCUCGAUGAGUAGGGCGGGACACGUGGUAUCCUGUCUGAAUAUGGGGGGACCAUCCUCCAAGGCUAAAUACUCCUGACUGACCGAUAGUGAACCAGUACCGUGAGGGAAAGGCGAAAAGAACCCCGGCGAGGGGAGUGAAAAAGAACCUGAAACCGUGUACGUACAAGCAGUGGGAGCACAGGUUUACCUGUGUGACUGCGUACCUUUUGUAUAAUGGGUCAGCGACUUAUAUUCUGUAGCAAGGUUAACCGUAUAGGGGAGCCGGAGGGAAACCGAGUCUUAACCGGGCGUUAAGUUGCAGGGUAUAGACCCGAAACCCGGUGAUCUAGCCAUGGGCAGGUUGAAGGUUGGGUAACACUAACUGGAGGACCGAACCGACUAAUGUUGAAAAAUUAGCGGAUGACCUGUGGCUGGGGGUGAAAGGCCAAUCAAACCGGGAGAUAGCUGGUUCUCCCCGAAAGCUAUUUAGGUAGCG
rnacentral:rRNA from 1 species